CACCAGACUCCUACGGGAGGCAGCAGUAGGGAAUAUUGCUCAAUGGGGGAAACCCUGAAGCAGCAACGCCGCGUGGAGGAUGAAGGUUUUCGGAUUGUAAACUCCUUUUGUUAGAGAAGAUAAUGACGGUAUCUAACGAAUAAGCACCGGCUAACUCCGUGCCAGCAGCCGCGGUAAUACGGAGGAUCCGAGCGUUAUCCGGAUUCAUUGGGUUUAAAGGGUGCGUAGGUUGUUUUAUAAGUUAGCGGUGAAAUACCGAUGCUCAACAUCGGGGCUGCCGCUAAUACUGUAGGACUAGAGAUCGGAUGCAGCAGGCGGAAUGUGUAGUGUAGCGGUGAAAUGCAUAGAUAUUACGCAGAACUCCGAUUGCGAAGGCAGCAUACCGGCGCCCAACUGACGCUGAAGCACGAAAGCGUGGGUAUCGAACAGGAUUAGAUACCCGAGUAU
rnacentral:rRNA from 1 species